AGAUGUUUGGCUGACAGCAUGGUGGAUUAGCGGUUGGCACUAUUACCUCACAGCAAGAAGGUCAUGGGUUUGAUUCCCACCUAUGUCCUUUCUGUGUGGAGUUUGCAUGUUCUCCUCAUGUUUGCAUGGGUUUCCUUUGGGUGCUCCGGCUUCCUUUC